rnacentral:rRNA from 1 species
GAUGAACGUUGGCGGCGUGCCUAACACAUGCAAGUCGAACGCUAGUAGCAAUAUUAGAGUGGCGCACGGGUGAGUAACACGUAGCUUACCCACCUCCCAGCGCGGGAUAACGGUUCGAAAGAACCGCUAAUACCGCAUAAGCUCACGGGCUAUAGAGGCUAGUGAGAAAAGGCUUAGGUCACUGGGAGCGGGGGCGUGCGGCCCAUCAGCUGGUUGGGGGCGGUAACGGCGCACCAAGGCGACGACGGGUA